UACGAGGGGGGCAAGCGUUGUUCGGAAUUACUGGGCGUAAAGAGCGCGCAGGCGGUCGUCCAAGUCGCGUGUGAAAGCCCCCGGCUCAACUGGGGAGGGUCACGCGAUACUGAUCGACUCGAAGGCAGGAGAGGGUAGUGGAAUUCCCGGUGUAGUGGUGAAAUGCGUAGAUAUCGGGAGGAACACCAGUGGCGAAGGCGACUACCUGGCCUGUUCUUGACGCUGAGGCGCGAAAGCUAGGGGAGCAAACGGG
rnacentral:rRNA from 1 species